rnacentral:rRNA from 1 species
GUUCUUAGUUGGUGGAGUGAUCUGUCUGGUUAAUUUCGAUAACGAACGAGACCUUAGCCUGCUAAAUAGGAUCAGAGACUUUGGUUUCUGUAUCACUUCUUAGAGGGACUUUGCGUGUCUAACGCAAGGAAGUUUGAGGCAAUAACAGGUCUGUGAUGCCCUUAGAUGUUCUGGGCUGCACGCGCGCUACACUGAUGCACUCAACGAGUUUUUGACCUUGGCCGACAGGUCUAGGUAAUCUUUUGAGUAUGCAUCGUGAU